rnacentral:rRNA from 1 species
GACGAACGCUGGCGGCGUGCUUAACACAUGCAAGUCGAACGGAAAGGCCCUGCUUUUGUGGGGUUCUCGAGUGGCGAACGGGUGAGUAACACGUGAGUAACCUGCCCUUGGCUUUGGGAUAACUUCAGGAAACUGGGGCUCAUACCGGAUAGGAGCUCCUGCUGCAUGGUGGGGGUUGGAAAGUUUCGGCGGUUGGGGAUGGACUCGCGGCUUAUCAGCUUGUUGGUGGGGUAGUGGCUUACCAAGGCUUUGACGGGUAGCCGGCCUGAGAGGGUUGACGGCGACAUGGGGACUGAGAGACGGCGCAGAAGCGUACGGGAGGCAGCAGUGGGGAAUAUUGCACAAUGGGCGGAAGCCUGAGGCAGCAACGCCGCGUGCGGGAUGACGGGUUUCGGGUUGUAAACCGCUGUCGCCGGUGACGAAGCGGGAGUGACGGUAAUGGGUAAAGAAGCACCGGCUAACUACGUG